rnacentral:lncRNA from 1 species
AUCAUUUCAUUAAAUCACAUUUGGUUUAUAAAACCGAAAAAUUAAUCAUUUAAUUCAUUUUCCAUGAAAUUCACAAAAUCGGAUAAAAACCACUUUAGAUAAUUAAGAUGAUAGUAAGGUUACUCAAAAUGUCUAGAGUGCAGAUUUUCGAAGUACUCUAACUACUGGUCCUCGUAUGCAAUUUCCUUGCCUUUAUCAGAGGGCUUACCACCUUGACAUAGUACAAAAUUGAGAAACUUACUACAUUAGUACUAAAUCGAAAUUAAACUAAUUUAGACUACUAAUGCAUGAUAUGGAAUGCAAAAUGCACGGGUAACCAUCUAAACCCGACAUUGGCCUAAUUCGUCUUAUCACCCGAUUAAUUGGCCAACGCAUCCAAUUUAGCUCCAAAUUGCUCCAUUUCUUUUCCAAUACCUUAAUUCACCAAACACUAGUCAAAUAACCUAAAAUUUGGCAAAACCAUCUUCACUUUUCUUCUUAGAAUUUUCUGUCAAUAAUGGUGCAUUAACACUGUGAUUUUUCUUACUACUUUUCCACACCAUAAUUCAUCAUUUUCUAACCAAUUCUCUUAAAAUAAAAAUCAAAUUCAUCGUCACUCAAUACAAGGUAGGUUCGGCCAUUGAUGGGUGAUGGGGAAAAUGAAUUCUUUUCUUGUUGUUUUGCUUCUAGACAUGGUAAACUAACUAAAACACUAAUAUAACUUAAAAUCAAAUCAAUCGAAAAUCAUUCUCUCUCCAUACCCAUUUGGCUAGCCAUGAAUUUACCAUGAAAACAUGAAAUUUAACCAUGGAAAAUAAGGAGAAAUGCUUAAGAAAAAUAGAUUUCAAGUUUAAAUUGAGAAAUCCUACCUUUUUCACUUGUUUUCCUUGAUUUUUCACACUUUUUCUCUUGAAAUUCUCCACCUAGGGUUCUUGUUCUUUCUUUUCUUCCUUUUUUCUUCUUUGGCCGGC